AUGCCUGUGCUCCACAGCCCGCGGCGACCCGCAGGCAGGGCGGGCCCGCUCCGCCCCCGCCAUCACGGGACCGAAGGGGGGCGGGCCUCGGCGGGGCGGGCCUCGGCAGCGCGGCCUGGGCGCCCGCCCACUGCCGGCGUCGCCUCCGUAACAGCCCCUCAGCGGUCAGCAGCGGCUGCGAGGCCCCGGGGUCCGGGGAGAAGGCCCUGCCGGGGCGGGAGGCCUGGAGGACCGGGAGGUGGUCCCGGCAGAGCAGGAGGCCGGGCCCCCGGGGCCGGGGAGAAGGCCCUGCCGGGGCGGGAGGCCUGGAGGGCCGGGAGGCCUGGAGGGCCGGGAGGUGGUCCCGGCAGAGCAGGAGGCCGCAUAUUGCUCCUCCUGAAGGAGGGUUUUCCGCCUUGUCCUCGGCGGGGCCCGCGCCUGAAACCGCUGGAAGGACUGUCUGGGGAUUCCAAGGUGUGCAGCGGUGCUGACUCCAGGUGUGGGGACUUCACACUGAUGGAAUGUCCUAUUUCAGUGGAGAACUGCCACUCCCAAGUAGAUCGCUCCACGGUCUUUAGUUUCAUCUACCCUGGUUCUUUGGUCUGCAGCAAUUUCAAUGAGAUAUUGGAGGGGAGAAAAGGCUGAAGUGAGUAAGGGCUCUUGUACAUUCUGAGUAGUGACUUGUGCCUGAUCAUUACCUACUGGUUUCUUAGACCACUGUCCAUCACUGCACACACAGUUUGGCAGGGUAGGACAUGGUGCAGCUGUCCUGAAUUAGAAGCAAGAUGUCAGCAAAUGAGUCAUUAUUUUGAGCACGGAGGAAUAAAGACUAUUCAAGCAGAAGAACA
rnacentral:lncRNA from 1 species